rnacentral:lncRNA from 1 species
UCACUUUCUCCAUUUCUUUGCACUUGAGGAAAAAAAAGCGCGGAACCCGUCUAUUUUUAUUCCAUUUUCAUUAAUUCUCUACUAAUUCAAACUUUCUCACCUAAUUUUCUCGCAUGCACUUCUCUCUUUUAUAAAUCACUCGUACCAAUCACAUAAAUAAAGUACAAAAGAAACCACAACAAUGAAGUCGGAAAAUUUUACCCCAUAAUCUUUCAUUUAUUCCCUUACUAAUACAUUAUAUUUUUUUG